rnacentral:rRNA from 1 species
GCUCAGAUUGAACGCUGGCGGCAGGCCUAACACAUGCAAGUCGAGCGGGAUUUGGUAGCUUGCUACCGAUGAGAGCGGCGCACGGGUGCGUAACGCGUAUACAACCUACCUUUUGCUACGGGAUAGCCCAGGGAAACUUGGAUUAACACCGUAUAGUAUAAGGCCCCCUCAUGGGGGCCUUAUUAAAGGCUACGGCAAAAGAUGGGUAUGCGUCCUAUUAGCUAGAUGGUAAGGUAACGGCUUACCAUGGCAACGAUAGGUAGGGGCCCUGAGAGGGGGAUCCCCCACACUGGUACUGAGACACGGACCAGACUCCUACGGGAGGCAGCAGUGGGGAA